AAAAAAGUCAUAAAUAAAGACGAGACAAAUUUUCAAGUUUAUUUGAAAUUAUGAAUUUAAAUAAACAAUGCAAGUAUCACUGUUUUAUUUUUGUACAAAUAAAGCAGUUAAUAAUAUUAUGCGCAAUUUGUCUGAUAUUUUAAUUAUUUUUUUCACUUAAAUACCUAACUAUGGCAAUUUCAAGGCCUAAGAUAGAUUUGUUUUUAUCUUUAAUUUAUUCUUGAAAGCUUUUAGCUGACAAGUUUUGUGACUGAUUGUGGAUAAAUUUACAAUAUUAUUCAAAUCAACAUCUCGCGACAAGAACGACAACUGACUCAACUUAAAAGUUAUAAAUAAAAUAAUACUAAAGUGUACUCCAAGCCCAAUGUUGUUGUUAAGUGCACACGCUACAUAAUAAAAUAUGAUUGGUAAUGGGAAUGAGAAAAAAUUAUUUGAGUAGUAGACAAACCUUACGACUUGUUGCUUAGAUAAUUGUGGAAAUUAUUUUAAAAUUGUGAAUGUGAAAAGUGUAUUACGUAAAUGCAAAUUACCAGGCACUAAUCUACCUCCUUUGUACUUAAAAACGCAUUAUAUAAAGAUGAUUGUCUUCCAAUGCGGAAGAAGGUUUGACAUUUUUUGACUUAAAACAUUAAAACUGGAAAAUCUUUUAAAGUGGAGAGUAAAUUUUCUAUUGUUCCUAAAUUUAAGUGAACAUUUUUAAAACGCUUCGGAACUUUCUCAAGAGUUUUAUCGUCCCACUUCUUAUUAAAACAUAAACAUGUGACGUAAUUUAUGAAUACGACUUCCUCCUGAAUAAACAAAAAAGUAUUGUUAACGAUUUUACGAUUUUUCAAUGGCCAAAGAAUCUUUAAGGUGAAUUACGUUUAAAAAAUGUUCAAUAAUCAUAAAAUGUACACAUUCUAAAAAAAGGAACACCAACGCAGUGCUAAAUAAUAUAUGACCCGAACUUUACUUCCAUCUUUAAAAAAAAAUUAAUAAAACCAAAAAAGGUGUUAAAGCUCAUAAAAUGUGAAUAUAUCUCGACAAUCGUAAAAGAAAUAUUAUCUCUCUUCUUAAAAGAAGAGCACGUGGCUAAAAUAUAUGUAUUUUUAAAAUUGGAACAUUAUAAUAAAAAAAUAAUAAAAAU